UACGUAGGGUGCAAGCGUUUAAUCGGAAUUACUGGGCGUAAAGCGUGCGCAGGCGGUUGUGCAAGACAGAUGUGAAAUCCCCGGGCUCAACCUGGGAAUUGCAUUUGUGACUGCACGGCUAGAGUGUGUCAGAGGGGGGUAGAAUUCCACGUGUAGCAGUGAAAUGCGUAGAGAUGUGGAGGAAUACCGAUGGCGAAGGCAGCCCCCCUGGGAUAACACUGACGCUCAUAGCACGAA
rnacentral:rRNA from 1 species